GCCGAGGUAGAUUAGCCUGGGAGAUCGCGCGGCUGAAGACCGCGUCGUCGAGUGUUCGAAUCACUCCCUCGGCACCA
rnacentral:tRNA from 1 species